rnacentral:rRNA from 1 species
AUACUCCUACGGGGCGCAGCAGUAGGGAAUAUUGCUCAAUGGGGGAAACCCUGAAGCAGCAACGCCGCGUGGAGGAUGAAGGUUUUAGGAUUGUAAACUCCUUUUGUGAGAGAAGAUAAUGACGGUAUCUCGCGAAUAAGCACCGGCUAACUCCGUACCAGCAGCCGCGGUAAUACGGAGGGUGCAAGCGUUACUCGGAAUCACUGGGCGUAAAGAGUGCGCAGGCGGGCUUGUAAGUCAGAUGUGAAAUCCUGUAGCUUAACUACAGAACUGCAUUCGAAACUAUGAGUCUAGAGUGUGGGAGG